rnacentral:rRNA from 1 species
UGGUGGAGUGAUUUGUCUGGUUAGUUCCGUUAACGAACGAGACCUUAGCCUGCUAACUAGUCGCGGCGAUCUCGAUCGUCGUCGACUUCUUAGAGGGACUUUGUGGCACUAAACACAAGGAAGUUUGAGGCAAUAACA